CCGUUUUCCUGAACUCCUAACCUCAGUCAAUACUGCCUCGGGACCUGGCGCUGCCUGGGAGAUCCAGAAGAAAGGAAGCAUCUUGGCCCCUGCCUUGGGGGCGACACGACCGUCCCCAAACACAGCGAGUCACUGGCCUGGGUCUUUGUGCAGAGGCCCCUCUAGGAGCGGGGAACCAACGAUGGCACGAACAUUGAUUUGAGGAGGAUGCUUCGCAGUUUACGAGAAAAUGAGUGCUAGAGGCGUUCAGAAACGGGAAAGAUCACUUUGUGCUCCUGUGAUCUGAAGGCUGCGUGAAGAAGAUGAGGCUUGGAAAAUAGGUGAUUCUCACAAGAAGGCUUCAAUAAUCUCCAUGUUAGAGAUGAAGAGACUCAAGUAACUGAAAGUUACUUAAGGCCAAUGGGGACCCUGUGCAGCUAUAUAUCCAGUGUCCCAAGCACUGUGUCUGGCAUGUUAGUAAACAUGUUUCAUAGGACUUACCACAUUACAGGACAGACCACAGUGCAUGUCUGUCUGCUCCAACAGAAGUGGCUUUCUUGAGGGAAGGAAUUCUGCCUUGUUCAACUUUAUAUUCCCCCACAGUGCCUUGCAGAAAGUAGGAGCCCAGAAAAUGUGUACUGAAUUGCUCAGAAUUGUGUGGUGAGGUAGAAAGUAUUGCUUAAUCUCUCCGAGACCUCAAUUUCCUUAUUUGUAAAUUAAACUGCUGAUUAAUUUCUAAAGUUCUUUUGAGUUACAGAAUUCUGUUACCCAACAAGGUUUCAGAGAUUGAGAAGAUUGAAUUAUUUGAUUUCUAAAUUCUUUUUCAACUUCAAUAUUAAAUGAUUUUAUGGUUCUGUCAGGUGAGCUGUUGUGCUGUAUGUCUGACCUGAAUUGCCUUUUAGGAGGGAAUCAGUACUUGGAAGCUGGAAUACAUCAGGGAUACCCCUAAAACGAGAGACUAUUUUUUUCCAUUGGAUUCUGACAUAAAUAAAUUUUGCCUACUUUGACAGU
rnacentral:lncRNA from 10 species